GACGAACCGUGCGAACGUUAUUCGGAAUCACUGGGCUUAAAGCGCGUGUAGGCGGGGUGGCACGUCCGGCGCUGAAAUCCCCCGGCUCAACCGGGGAACGGGCGCGGAUACGACCGCCCUGGAGGGACGUAGGGGGACCUGGAACUUCCGGUGGAGCGGUGAAAUGCGUUGAGAUCGGAAGGAACGCCCGUGGCGAAAGCGGCUCUCUAGUACGGUACUGACGCUGAGACGCGAAAGCGUGGGGAGCGAACAGG
rnacentral:rRNA from 1 species